rnacentral:lncRNA from 1 species
GCAAACAUGCCCAACCUUUACUCACAUUCGAGAAAACACUCCCAACAAGAUUGCUUGCUCCAAAAUCGAAGAGGCACCGCCCUCCGAAUCUCGAGAGCCAGACUCCCAACAUGAUUACUUUCUCAAAAAUCGAAGAGACACUGCUUCCCGAAUCUUCGAGAGCCAGACCCCCAGCAUGAUUGCUUUCUCAAAAAUUGAUGAGGCAUCGUUCUCCGAAUCAAUCGAAGAGGCGCUCGCUUUCUCAAAAGCUGGGCUGCUCAGAGACCACGAGGGCCGAUCUCAGAAAUCGAAGAGGCACCUACUUUUCUAGCCUUGUCAGCACCUGUCACACGCAACAAUAGCUCAUGGGUACCACAGAUAACUUUGCCAAAGUUCUCUGCCAAAGUUGAGCACGUGAAGCUUGCAGCUCCCACUACAUCGCUCUGACCAAGAAAGGUAAAAGAAUAGCAAAGAAACAGCACUAACAAAGUUUAGACACAUAAAUUUUG